rnacentral:rRNA from 1 species
UACAGAGGGGGCAAGCGUUAUUCGGAAUUAUUGGGCGUAAAGGGCGCGUAGGCGGCUUGACAAGUGGAAGGUGAAAUCCCUCGGCUUAACCGAGGAACUGCCUUCCAGACUGUCUGGCUUGAGACCGGGAGAGGUGAGUGGAAUUCCCAGUGUAGCGGUGAAAUGCGUAGAUAUUGGGAGGAACACCAGUGGCGAAGGCGGCUCACUGGACCGGUACUGACGCUGAGGCGCGAAAGCGUGGGGAGCGAACAGG